rnacentral:rRNA from 1 species
AUUGAACGCUGGCGGCAUGCCUUACACAUGCAAGUCGAACGGUAACGGGCCUUCGGGUGCCGACGAGUGGCGAACGGGGGCGUAAUACAUCGGAACGUGCCCGAUCGUGGGGGAUAACGAGGCGAAAGCUUUGCUAAUACCGCAUACGAUCUACGGAUGAAAGCAGGGGACCGCAAGGCCUUGCGCGGACGGAGCGGCCGCUGGCAGAUUAGGUAGUUGGUGGGAUAAAAGCUUACCAAGCCGACGAUCUGUAGCUGGUCUGAGAGGAUGAUCAGCCACACUGGGACUGAGACACGGCCCAGACUCCUACGGGAGGCAGCAGUGGGGAAUUUUGGACAAUGGGCGCAAGCCUGAUCCAGCCAUGCCGCGUGCAGGAUGAAGGCCUUCGGGUUGUAAACUGCUUUUGUACGGAACGAAAAGCCUUCUUUUAAUACAGGAGGGUCAUGACGGUACCGUAAGAAUAAGCACCGGCUAACUACGUG